rnacentral:rRNA from 1 species
AUGGGCGAAAGCCUGAUCCAGCCAUGCCGCGUGUGUGAAGAAGGUCUUCGGAUGUGUAAAGCACUUUAAGUUGGGAGGAAGGGCAUUAAGCUAAUACCUUGACUGUUUUGACGUUACCGACAGAAUAAGCACCGGCUAACUUCGUGCCAGCAGCCGCGGUAAUACGAAGGGUGCAAGCGUUAAUCGGAAUUACUGGGCGUAAAGCGCGCGUAGGUGGUUCGUUAAGUUGGAUGUGAAAGCCCCGGGCUCAACCUGGGAACUGCAUCCAAAACUGGCGAGCUAGAGUACGGUAGAGGGUGGUGGAAUUUCCUGUGUAGCGGUGAAAUGCGUAGAUAUAGGAAGGAACACCAGUGGCGAAGGCGACCACCUGGACUGAUACUGACACUGAGGUGCGANAGCGUGGGGAGCAAACAGGAUUAGAUACCCUGGUAGUCCACGCCGUAAACGAUGUCAACUAGCCGUUGGGUUCCUUGAGAUCUUAGUGGCGCAGCUAACGCAUNAAGUUGACCGCCUGGGGAGUACGGCCGCAA